UAGAAUCUAGUGGAGGCCGGAUUCUGUGUCCGGGCGUGUUGGGGUGCCUAAUCCAUUCUCAGUACGUACAUAACUUUCCGAAACCAAAUCUCUAAUUUGGCAAGGAGAAAGUUAGGCUCUCCACUAGAAAUUCGAGCCGCCAUACUUUGCACCUCUCUAUUGUCCCGGUUAUCUUUUUCGGGUGGUGAGUUUCGAUCUUCUCUGAUAAUUUAUGGUCACUGCGGUUGUCCCUUAAGGCUUCCUCUCAUAUGGCUCAUUUCGAAACGGGCCUAGUACAAACGAGCAAACCUUUGACACAGUCAAA
rnacentral:lncRNA from 1 species